GAACGAUCACUUUUUAAGCACUAAUACUGAUCACGCAUACUUAAAAAAAUGGCUUCUUUCACGGCGAAUACGGCGGUUUCUCGGAGAUGGCUCGGUGGUAAUCAUACUCACCCGUCAUUAUCAUCUUCUCAAACCUCCGACUUGAGUUAUUUUUCUUGCUCCAUGCCUAUGACAAGUCGUGUCCAACGCAAGCUCAAUGUUUCUUCCGCGCUUCACACUCCUCCUGCUCUUCUUUUCCCCAAGCAGUCCUCAACCUCUCCCGCCAUUGUUGUUAACCCCAAAGCCAAAGACUCCGACACUAAACAGAUGAACUUGUUCCAAAGAGCAGCGGCGGCAGCCUUGGACGCGGCGGAGGGCUUCCUCGUGAGCCACGAGCGACAACAUCCACUCCCUAAAACCGCCGAUCCUAGUGUUCAGAUCGCCGGAAACUUCGCUCCGGUGAAUGAACAGCCCGUCCGGCGUAAUCUCCCGGUGGUCGGAAAGAUACCUGAUUCCAUCAAAGGAGUGUACGUGCGCAACGGGGAUAAACACAAAUGAAAUUUCAGAAUUUUAGCAUUUUAGAAUUUUAUGCACACUAAAUGUGUUUAUAAGGGAAAUGUCGUGUUGUGGAGGAUAAAUCUCAAAUAGAUUAGAGGUUGUUGCACGACAUAUGUUAUGCUCAAGUUGCCUAAGACUUGUUAGCAAACAUAGAAACAGAAGAAGACAAAAACAAGACAAAGGGAGUUAAAGAUUGAAGUAGAUGCAUUUGUCCAAGUGUGAAAGGUCUCAACUUUGAACCAUAUUACUCUGUUUUUUUAGUCUGUUCCCAAAAUACCCUUUUAACACCCACUCACUCCAUUCCUCUCUCCGUCACUGAUUCAACACGUGGCCACCUAGAUGGGACCCACCAUUCCUCUCCCGGGUUAUAUAAACGCUCAACACUUCAUCGCUCUCAAACCAACUCUCUCUUCCCUUCUCCACUUCAACGACAAAGUAAAAAAAAAACAGACUUUACAAAUCUCAAAACAGAACGAUCACUUUUUAAGCACUAAUACUGAUCACGCAUACUUAAAAAAAUGGCUUCUGUCACGGCGAAUACGGCGGUUUCUCGGAGAUGGCUCGGUGGUAAUCAUCCUCAGCCGUCAUUAUCAUCUUCUCAAACCUCCGACUUGAGUUAUUCUUGCUCUAUGCCUAUGACAAGUCGUGUCCAACGCAAGCUCAAUGUUUCUUCCGCGCUUCACACUCCUCCUGCUCUUCUUUUCCCCAAGCAGUCCUCAACCUCUCCCGCCAUUGUUGUUAACCCCAAAGCCAAAGACUCCGACACUAAACAGAUGAACUUGUUCCAAAGAGCAGCGGCGGCAGCCUUGGACGCGGCGGAGGGCUUCCUCGUGAGCCACGAGCGACAACAUCCACUCCCUAAAACCGCCG
rnacentral:lncRNA from 1 species